CUCUAGCUCUAUAGGGAUGAGCUGUGCGGAGGUUCUUAAGAAUUCCGAGAGGCAGGAACCCUUUCCUGCACGGGAGUUUCCAGUUCCUGGGCCAUCACCUUCCCGCCAGUCUUUUUAUCAACUCUCAGAAGUUGAAUUGAGAGAGACACAGCAAGAGAGGCAACACAAGCAAGGGGAGUGCGAGAGGGAGAAGCAGGCUUCCCGCUGAGCAGGGAGCCCGAUGCUGGGCUCGAUCCCAGGAUCCCGGGAUCACGACCUGAGCUGAAGGCAGAUGCCCAACGACUGAACCACCCAGGUGCCCCCAGAGACCAUUCGCCCCACUGUGUGGAAAUGGAUUGAAUGGGGAAAUGAGAAAGGAGACCACUUCAUUGACCAGUGAUAUUUCCUGAACUUUAGAGGCUGGAAAACUGAAAAUCACAGUACUUAGAUUCCUUUGCAAGG